rnacentral:rRNA from 1 species
UACAGAGGUCUCAAGCGUUGUUCGGAUUUAUUGGGCGUAAAGAGCUCGUAGGUGGUUCGGUAAGUCAGGUGUGAAACCUCCAGGCUCAACCUGGAGACGCCACUUGAUACUGCUGUGACUGGAGUCCGGUAGGGGAGCGUGGAAUUCCUGGUGUAGCGGUGAAAUGCGCAGAUAUCAGGAGGAACACCAGCGGCGAAGGCGGCGCUCUGGGCCGGUACUGACACUGAGGAGCGAAAGCGUGGGGAGCAAACAGG